GGGGCGGGGCUGGGCGGAGCCCGCGCAGGGUGCUGGCCGCAGCGCCCCCAAGUCCCGGCGCCGGGCCCGCUCACGGCCGCGUGGGAGCAGUGGGGUUCGACGGCGCGGCCGCGAGGCCGCCAUGGCCGCUCACGGGAAGCUGCGGCGGGAGCGGGGGCUGCAGGCUGAGUAUGAGACGCAAGUCAAAGAGAUGCGCUGGCAGCUGAGCGAGCAGCUGCGCUGCCUGGAGCUGCAGGGCGAGCUGCGGCGGGAGUUGCUGCAGGAACUGGCAGAGUUCAUGCGGCGCCGCGCUGAGGUGGAGCUGGAAUACUCCCGGGGCCUGGAAAAGCUGGCCGAGCGCUUCUCCAGCCGUGGAGGCCGCCUGGGGAGCAGCCGGGAGCACCAAAGCUUCCGGAAGGAGCCGUCCCUCCUGUCGCCCUUGCACUGCUGGGCGGUGCUGCUGCAGCACACGCGGCAGCAGAGCCGGGAGAGCGCGGCCCUGAGUGAGGUGCUGGCCGGGCCCCUGGCCCAGCGCCUGAGUCACAUUGCAGAGGACGUGGGGCGCCUGGUCAAGAAGAGCAGGGAUCUGGAGCAGCAGCUGCAGGAUGAGCUCCUGGAGGUGGUCUCAGAGCUCCAGACGGCCAAGAAGACGUACCAGGCAUAUCACAUGGAGAGCGUGAAUGCCGAGGCCAAGCUCCGGGAGGCCGAGCGGCAGGAGGAGAAGCGGGCAGGCCGGAGUGUCCCCACCACCACCGCUGGUGCCACUGAGGCAGGGCCCCUCCGCAAGAGCUCCCUCAAGAAGGGAGGGAGGCUGGUGGAGAAGCUCUGGCCCCCGCAGAGGCCUGUGGCCGCUUCCAGCUGUGCACCUGUGUGCUGGCUCCAAGCUGGGUUUCUCGUGCACCCUCCAUGGUGGGGUGCCAUGUGCGCACCUUCCACUCAUCAGCGGCAGGCCAAGUUCAUGGAGCACAAACUCAAGUGCACAAAGGCGCGCAACGAGUACCUGCUUAGCCUGGCCAGUGUCAACGCUGCUGUCAGUAACUACUACCUGCAUGACGUCUUGGACCUCAUGGACUGCUGUGACACAGGGUUCCACCUGGCCCUGGGGCAGGUGCUCCGGAGCUACACGGCCGCUGAGAGCCGCACCCAAGCCUCCCAAGUGCAGGGCCUGGGCAGCCUGGAAGAAGCUGUGGAGGCCCUGGAUCCUCCAGGGGACAAAGCCAAGGUUCUCGAGGUGCAUGCUACCGUCUUCUGUCCCCCGCUGCGCUUUGACUACCACCCCCAUGAUGGGGAUGAGGUGGCUGAGAUCUGCGUUGAAAUGGAGCUGCGGGACGAGAUUCUGCCCAGAGCCCAGAACAUCCAGAGCCGCCUGGACCGACAGACCAUUGAGACAGAGGAGGUGAACAAGACUCUGAAGGCAACACUGCAGGCCCUGCUGGAGGUGGUGGCCUCGGAUGACGGGGAUGUGCUUGAUUCCUUCCAGACCAGCCCCUCCACCGAGUCCCUCAAGUCCACCAGCUCAGACCCAGGCAGCCGGCAGGCGGGCCGGAGGCGCGGCCAGCAGCAGGAGACCGAAACCUUCUACCUCACGAAGCUCCAGGAGUAUCUGAGUGGACGGAGCAUCCUCGCCAAGCUGCAGGCCAAGCACGAGAAGCUGCAGGAGGCCCUUCAGCGAGGUGACAAGGAGGAGCAGGAGGUGUCUUGGACCCAGUACACACAGAGAAAAUUCCAGAAGAGCCGCCACCCCCGCCCCAGCUCCCAGUAUAACCAGAGACUCUUUGGGGGAGACAUGGAGAAGUUUAUCCAGAGCUCAGGCCAGCCUGUGCCCCUGGUGGUGGAGAGCUGCAUUCGCUUCAUCAACCUCAAUGGCCUGCAGCAUGAAGGCAUCUUCCGGGUAUCGGGUGCCCAGCUCCGGGUCUCAGAGAUCCGUGAUGCCUUCGAGAGAGGGGAGGACCCACUGGUGGAGGGCUGCACUGCCCACGACCUGGACUCGGUGGCCGGGGUGCUGAAGCUCUACUUCCGGAGCCUGGAGCCCCCACUCUUCCCCCCAGACCUGUUCGGCGAGCUGCUGGCUUCUUCAGAGCUGGAGGCCACAGCGGAGAGGGUGGAGCACGUGAGCCGCCUGCUGUGGCGGCUGCCCGCGCCGGUGCUGGUGGUUCUGCGCUACCUCUUCACCUUCCUCAACCACCUGGCCCAGUACAGCGAUGAGAACAUGAUGGACCCCUACAACCUGGCCGUGUGCUUCGGGCCCACGCUGCUACCGGUGCCCGCUGGGCAGGACCCGGUGGCGCUGCAGGGCCGGGUGAACCAGCUGGUGCAGACGCUCAUAGUGCAGCCCGAUCGGGUCUUCCCGCCCCUGACCUCGCUGCCUGGCCCCGUCUACGAGAAGUGCAUGGCACCACCUUCCGCCAGCUGCCUGGGGGACGCCCAGCUGGAGAGCCUGGGGGCGGACAAUGAGCCGGAGCUGGAAGCCGAGAUGCCCGCACAGGAGGAUGACCUGGAGGGGGUCGUGGAGGCUGUGGCCUGCUUUGCCUACACGGGCCGCACAGCCCAGGAGCUGAGCUUCCGGCGGGGGGACGUACUGCGGCUGCACGAGAGGGCCUCGAGCGACUGGUGGCGGGGGGAGCACAACGGCAUGCGGGGCCUCAUCCCCCACAAGUAUAUCACGCUGCCCGCCGGAUUCUGAAGGUCUGGGCUGGGCCAGAGAACAGAGCCUCUCUGACCACUCCUGGCUGGCGCGGAGGCUGCUGGCCCUGGACCCCGUGCAGGGGAGGAGCACUCGAAACAGGCCGGUCCUUCCCACCGCAGGACGGAGAAGCAGGUGGUGGGCGCAGGGCUGCAGACUGCAGGGGAGUCUGGGAGCAGUCCCGAGGGCCUCCUGGCAUCAGAGCUGGUCCACCGGCCAGAGCCAUGCACCUCACCUGAGGCCAUGGGACCCUCUGGACACAGACGACGCUGCUUGGUCCCAGCCUCCCCAGAGCAACACGUGGAGGUGGAUAAGGCUGUGGCACAGAACAUGGACUCUGUGUUUAAGGAGCUCUUGGGAAAGACCUCUGUCCGCCAGGGCCUUGGGCCAGCAUCUACCACCUCUCCCAGUCCUGGGCCCCGAAGCCCAAAGGCCCCGCCCAGCAGCCGCCUGGGCAGGAACAAAGGCUUCUCCCGGGGCCCUGGGGCCCCAGCCUCACCCUCAGCUUCCCACCCCCAGGGCCUAGACACGACCCCCAAGCCACACUGAGGUGCCGCUGCUGGAGAUGCGUGCCCCCGGCGGCUACCCGCUGGACCGGCCACUCUCCCCAGCCCCCUUGCUUCUCUCCAGCCCUGUCCAGCAAGUGCAGGGUGCCUGCACUUCACCCUGUGCAGAGAGGUGGGAUGGGGCCAUGCACACAGGGAUGCCCGCUCCACAUCUUGCCUGCCCCUCAGCCCUGGCCCAGGCCCCUUUUGGAGGCAGCUGAGGAAGGAUGCUGGGGAAAGCCCUCUUCUGCAGCUUUGUGGAAGGCUGAUCAGUGGCUGCUGGGUGGCGGGUACCCUUGCUCAGAUGCCUGGCAGGGCUGGGUGGUGAUUCAUAAAGACCUCGUGUUGAUUCCCC